rnacentral:tRNA from 1 species
GUGGUCGUUGUCCAAUGGCAGGACGUCAGAUUGUGGCUCUGAAAAUGAGAGUUCGAUUCUCUUCGGUCACC